rnacentral:misc_RNA from 1 species
GAUGAAGAACGCAGCGAAAUGCGAUACGUAGUGUGAAUUGCAGAAUUCAGUGAAUCAUCGAAUCUUUGAACGCACAUUGCACCUCUCGGUAUUCCGGGAGGUAUGCCUGUUCGAGCGUCAUUUGUACCCUCAAGCUCUGCUUGGUGUUGGGUGUUUGUUCCGCCUCUGUGUGUGAACUUGCCUCAAAACAAUUGGCAGCCGGCGUACUUGUUUCGGAGCGCAGCACAUUUUGCGAUCCAGAUCAACGUACAGCGGCAUCCAAGAAGCCUUAUUUAACGCUCUUGACCUCGGAUCAGGUAGGGAUACCCGCUGAACUUAAGCAUAUCAAUAAGCGGAGG